AGACCCUGGGAAGACCGACAUAUCUCCUGGCCAAGAACUCUGGUUUGUAAAAUGCCGAGAAGGGUGGCAAAAAUGGAACCGAACAAUACCAGGAUAAAAUCGGCAUUGAAAUGCCCUCCUCCCGAAGCCUCUCAGAUCCAUCAGGGACCAACCCAGCUGGAAAAAAGCAUUUGGUGCGACGAAAGACAAAAAAGACCAAAACUUGUUUCUGCAGACUUCUUCCUCUGGCUUCCUCACUUGUCAGGACUUGCAAGAGCUUAUAGUUUAAAGAUGGAUCUGUGGGGUUGCUAAGAACUAUCUCAGCGCGAAUGAUAAUUCAGAGAACUUUCUAUAUUUAUGGCUUCUACUUUUUUU